GCAGAAGCUCCAUCGGCUACAUAAUGGUGCAUCCCAACACCAAGUGAGACUCCUCCACAUUUGAAGUAUGUUACCUGCACAAAUGGUUAAAGUUCACUAAAUUAGUGUACGUAAUCUAGUAUUAUACACAUAAAUGAUAACUUGACACAAAAAAUGUGACACAUAAAUGACAGCAUAUACUUAUUCUUUUAUUGCCUAAUACAUCUGUUUUUUAAUUGGGUAAUGAUAGUUAUCGCAACAAUUUUAUGAUCAGAAGGUGGUCGACGCCGGCGGUGGUGGGAGGAGGAUAUGAUGGUGGUGUGGUGAGGAAUAUAUCGGUGUUAAAAAGUAGUUAUAUAUUGUGUUCAAACUUGCUCGUUUGUCGGUUG
rnacentral:lncRNA from 1 species